CCUGAGUCACAAAGGUCACUAUGGCAUUGUCCAGUAAUUGCCUGGGCAACAGUGGUCAGCUCUGCACCAAGAUGUCUUAAGCCAUAAAUGAUUAGCUCUGGGGAAGGAUAUUAAAUAACAUCUCAGUUCAAGAACCAGCAUCUCAUUAAGGCCAUGUGACCUAUCCAAGGUCUUCUGACCCCUAGCCUCAUUAUUGCUCAUUCAACUUUCAGAUGAUAUAAAAUGGAACCCAUGAAAAACAGGGGUUGCUGUGGUCACAAAGCAGGUUUCCAAGAUGAUCUGUAUGCCAAGGAAUGGUGUAAAAGGCAUCAUGCAAUGUGAUGAGAAAGGAAUUGGACUGGUCAUGGAAUGAGAAAGAGAAGUGACAGAUGGAUAGCUCCAGUGGCACACAGGUAUUUCUGAGAUGUUAGAAGAACCCAAGGGAAAUCUCCAAAGCAUAAGAUGGAUCCCCUAUGGAGGACUAACGGGAAGACAUGGCUAAGAAUUACAUGGGAUGGAGAGCUACAGAAGUUAUGGUCUGAACUAGUGGGGUGAAGUUCCCACAUGGAUUCCCCAAGGCAACAAAGAACCAAAACCAAAGGGUAAGACAUCUCCCAUUGAUAUUGAUGAAGGAAAGUAGGUUGGAAUCUUUUUUUUCCUAGAAUUAUAAUGAAAAUAAUGAAAACAGA